rnacentral:rRNA from 1 species
AAUAGAUACCCAGGUAGUCCACGCCGUAAACGGUGGGCACUAGGUGUGGGCGACAUUCCACGUCGUCCGUGCCGUAGCUAACGCAUUAAGUGCCCCGCCUGGGGAGUACGGCCGCAAGGCUAAAACUCAAAGGAAUUGACGGGGGGCCCGCACAAGCGGCGGAGCAUGUGGCUUAAUUCGACGCAACGCGAAGAACCUUACCAAGGCUUGACAUACACCGGAAACGUCCAGAGAUGGGCGCCCCCUUGUGGUCGGUGUACAGGUGGUGCAUGGCUGUCGUCAGCUCGUGUCGUGAGAUGUUGGGUUAAGUCCCGCAACGAGCGCAACCCUUGUCCCGUGUUGCCAGCAGGCCCUUGUGGUGCUGGGGACUCACGGGGAGACCGCCGGGGGUUCAACGUUGGAGGAAGGUGGGGGACGACGUCAAGUCAUCAUGCCCCUUAUGUCUUGGGCUGCACACGUGCUACAAUGGCCGGUACAAUGAGCUGCGAUACCGCGAGGUGAGCGAAUCUCAAAAAGCCGGUCUCAGUUCGGAUUGGGGU